CAAUAGCGUAUAUUAAAGUUGUUGCGGUUAAAAAGCUCGUAGUUGGAUUUCUGCCGAGGACGACCGGUCCGCCCUCUGGGUGAGUAUCUGGCUCGGCCUGGGCAUCUUCUUGGAGAACGUAGCUGCACUUGACUGUGUGGUGCGGUAUCCAGGACUUUUACUUUGAGGAAAUUAGAGUGUUUCAAGCAGGCUUACGCCUUGAAUACAUUAGCAUGGAAUAAUAAGAUAGGACCUCGGUUCUAUUUUGUUGGUUUCUAGAGCUGAGGUAAUGAUUAAUAGGGAUAGUUGGGGGCAUUCGUAUUUAACUGUCAGAGGUGAAAUUCUUGGGUUUGUUAAAGACGGACUACUGCGAAAGCAUUUGCCAAGGAUGUUUNCAUUG
rnacentral:rRNA from 1 species